rnacentral:rRNA from 1 species
GAACGCUGGCGGCGUGCCUAACACAUGCAAGUCGAACGAGAAAGCGGGCUUCGGUCCGUGAGUAAAGUGGCAGACGGGUGAGUAACACGUGGGUAACCUGCCCGGAGGUGGGGGAUAACCUUUCGAAAGGAAGGCUAAUACCGCAUAACAUCUCGGACUCUUCGGGGACCGAGAUCAAAGCUAGCCUCUGUUUCAUGCUAGCGCCACCGGAGGGGCCCGCGCCCCAUUAGCUUGUUGGUGAGGUAACGGCUCACCAAGGCUACGAUGGGUAGCCGGCCUGAGAGGGCGAUCGGCCACACUGGAACUGAGACACGGUCCAGACUCCUACGGGAGGCGGCAGUGAGGAAUUUUGCGCAAUGGGCGAAAGCCUGACGCAGCGACGCCGCGUGGAGGACGAAGGCCUUCGGGUCGUAAACUCCUGUCAAGUGGGACGAACCCUGCGGGGAUGAAUAAGCCUCGCAGCUGACGGUACCACUGAAGGAAGCCCCGGCUAACUCCGUGCCAGCAGCCGCGGUAAU